AAGGGAGACCUAAUUCGGGUAGAAGACGAAAAAAUAGUAGUCGAAACCAAGAAUCAAUCCCAAAAGGUCGGAACGAGGUAUGUGGCUUUCAAACUAGGUUCUGGGUUCACAAAAGACCUGAAUCAGGAACAAGGGCUAUUAGCUCAGGUGGUUAGAGCGCACCCCUGAUAAGGGUGAGGUCCCUGGUUCGAGUCCAGGAUGGCCCACCUGCACAGGUGGCAAAAACAAGGGAAACGAGGAAUCAGCACCUUAUCUUACUUACAUAGUAAGAGAGAAUGCUGGCUCUGAGUAAAGAGUCCAGAGGAACCUUGAAAACUGCAUAGAGCUAGGUGAAAAAGCCAAAAAAGAAGACCGCAA
rnacentral:tRNA from 1 species